UGCAGCUCAGUGACGGAAGUUUUGAAGUGCGGCUGUAAUCGCGCGGGCUGUGGGUAUGUAGUCACUCACAUAGAGCUCACUAGUUUCUAGUUCGGUUUCAGUGUACCAUUGUACCUGAUGUAUGUGUAUGUGAUUCACUUCUAAUUUUUUUUGACAAAGUGCAGCUCGCUAGUGUUGUCUUCGGUGUGCUGCUGUGAUGGGCUAGUUUCCUGUUGCAUCUCCGGUGGCUUGGAGUACCAUGGCUGGUGUGUGCGGGCCGUCCUGAUGGCAUGGGCAUGCCGUUCACUUGGAGCACCAUGGCUGGCUGUGUGCGUGCAGUCCCGAGAGCGUGGGCAUGUCAUUCACUUUAUUUUGUUUUGAAGAAAAAAAUGUCAGUGCAGUGCCGUUUGAUUUAUUUGUUCGGAAAAAAGAAAAGGUCUUCUGCACUUCACUUUCAUUUUUAGGUUGAUGCGUGUGUGGUUCAAAA
rnacentral:lncRNA from 1 species